UUAACUGUCACUCUUCAGUCUUUUCAAGUGUAGUAUCUGUUCUUAUCAGGUUAAUAUUUAAUAUAUCCUCUAAAGACAAUACACUAAAUGGACAUUGGAGCUAGGAAAAUGGAUGGGAACUUGAUUUGUCCACUCCAAAUGUAGACCUCUUAUUGCAGUACCUAGAAUAGUACUGGUAAAAUUUU